rnacentral:rRNA from 1 species
GUCCACGCCCUAAACGAUGGACACUAAGUGUCGGCAGGUUACUGCCGGUGCCGCAGCUAACGCAUUAAGUGUCCCGCCUGGGGAGUACGGCCGCAAGGUUGAAACUCAAAGGAAUUGACGGGGCCCGCACAAGCGGUGGAGCAUGUGGUUUAAUUCGACGCAACGCGAAGAACCUUACCCAGGCUGGACAAGCAGGUAGUAAGAACCUGAAAGGGGGAUGAGCCCGCAAGGGCAUCCUGCUCAGGUGCUGCAUGGCUGUCGU